GUCAAACAGCACUGGUCAAGACGUGGUGAGUUAGUGUUUGCAGUAACUUUGAUCGAGGAACUUGUGGAACCGGUCAGAAGGGAUGCUGGAGAAUGGUUGUAACCGGUCCAGUACCUUUUCUCCUGUAUCUUCAGUGGACAUAAUGCCUUGAGCCGAGAUGAUUCUGAACAGAACUCUGAACUUCAUGUGCGUCCACUCUCCAUCUCCCUCUGUAAGACCACUGGACUUCUGCUGAGACAUUAAACAGAAUUUCUCAUGGCUCCCAGGCGGAGCGGGCUCUUAUCCCGGUCCCUGUGUAAGUCUCCCUGCAGCGGAGGGCUUAAUCUGCUGUGCCACUUUAACCCUCCGCCUCCAGCCAUAGAACAGGCCCGCUCCAACGGGUGGUCGUCCUGUCAGCCCCCCAACACCUCCUUAAAAAAAGAACUCACAGAGGAGAAAAGUUGGAAAUCUAAACACUGUUGCAUUAGAUGGACAUCCUGCAAAAUCCUUUUCUCCAAUCCAGAUGCUCAUAUCUCUUUUGACAGUCAUUGGGCGGCAAAGUUCGUGCUUUGAAGCAAGUGGCUUUUGGUCUCUGUUUUCAACUUUCAGUGUAAUGAAAGGCAAACAUUGCAAAAUUCCCGCGUUAUUAAAUAAAACAUGUCGGUGGCCUGGGGCCAAGCAUUGUCACGCUAUGAACAAAUGUCUUAUGAUAAUAUUUUCCAUAACUAUUGGCCCUGAUCUAGAAUGAGCAUGUUUGAUGUAUAGACUCAUUAUUAGCUGCAAGAUACAUAUGCUUACUUAGAUGAGAGGAAAAUGUAUUUUCUCCUCCGUGUAGUGUAACUGAAUGAUAAUGUUCGAAAAGUGUGAGAGGAUCAGAAAAUGUGGAAUGCUAUAUAGAGGCGUAUAUAUCAAGGUGAACUGAAAUAAGUUCUUUAAUUCUUGUGAUAGUUUUUUAUGUAUAUACUUCUUGGGAGAGUAAAA